UUCUCGCUCGCUCUAGAUUCUGUGAGAUUUUAAGUAAUUUGCGGGCAUCAGGGAGCCGCUAUCAAUAUGGGGGAGACUCCCGGACCUCCUGAGAGACUUGGGAUGUCUGGUCUACUAUAAAUUCCAUUAAGGUUACGUUAAAAAUCGCUUUCACACGGGGAGAGACUUCUGAAGUAAAAGCGAAAGUAAAUAGUUUGACUCCGUGACGCAUCUGACUUUGUUGUUUUGUAUCGAGGGCACACAGUUUGUAGCCUAAGAGAGACUCUCCCACUUCUGCUAGGAUGAGUGUCUCUCAGGAGAGAGAGGAGGCUGCAGGUCCCAGUAAAACACCCAGACCAGAGUCUGCAGCACACAGCUGUGUGCAACAAAGCAGCAAAGCAACACACUCUGAUGGAGGCCCACAGAGACACAGACCUCCAUCUCCAGUGCCCAGCUGUGUGUCCAUGAAGAGUGAUCGGUCCAUGGAUGUGAUGCCCACAUUUAGCAGUGAACCAGUUCCAUCAGGUCUACA